CCAAACUUGGUCAUUUAGAGGAGUAAAAGUCGUAACAAGGUCUCCGUUGGUGAACCAGCGGAGGGAUCAUUACAGAGCGUAAAAACCUCUCAAAACCCGUGUGAACGUACCUUUGUUGCCUCGGCAGGUCGUGGUCGGACUCCGGGGAGGCUAUUCGUAGCCCCCCCGGGGACGCCGCGGUGCAGCCUGCCGCUGGCCCGCAGACUCUGUUUUACAGUGUAUCUCUGAGGAAAGAAAAGCAAAUAAGUUAAAACUUUCAACAACGGAUCUCUUGGUUCUGGCAUCGAUGAAGAACGCAGC
rnacentral:misc_RNA from 1 species